GCAUAUACUACCACUUUUAUUCUCGGUGGUUCCCGAUCUUCACACCUAUCAGAGAGCACAGAUUGGGGCAGGCCACUCAAAGUAUAGGGCUCUGAAUAGCAGCCCCCCAGGACGGAGUGGACAGAAAUACUUUUCCACUGGUAGAUACAUCUAAAGAACCAAACUAACCAAAGCAGCAAAGCUCCUCCACCUGCAAAGUCUGGACUUGGACAAAUGCCCUCCACCUAACUGAGAUGAUACGGCUGAAAAGCAACGUUCAGGGAGAGCAAGCGGGGUAGAGUGGGGCUUGGCGGAGGCAAACAGUUGUGUGACAAAGCUGCUGAUGUUCACACUGAAUGAGGUUUGGUGAGCAAGAUAUUACCAACGCUGACACGAAAUGUUUCCAUGAGCACGCUGGCAGUGAGUGGAGCAGGACCAUACUGGGCUGUGUCUGACAGAGAGAUCUAAAUUCUCCAAAUCCUGGGCUGCAGCCAAAGAUUUCAAGAUGUGCCCAUUCAAAUAAAGCUGGGCCAUAAAGCAAAGAAGUUCCUGCAAAUGAGAAGCAAACCGUGAUCAGUGGUAGGAUUCAUCUCAUCAACAUUUACGCAUUUACAAACUAGACUUCUAUAAUUGCGCUAGCCUCCCUGACCCCCUACACAGCUCCAUUUUCAGUGGAGAAAAAACCCAGCUCUUCUUGGGCACAAAUAAUCUGGCUUCUUUUAGAUAUCUUCAUUAGGCUGAGAGGAAUUCUGUUGCAGAAUUGCCCCUUGUUUUUCUGUUGCCUAUAAAGUGAAGGUGGAAUGAUUAGUAUUUGUCUGAUAAAUGCCAUCUUGAGUAUUAAUGCAAAAACAUCGUAGUUGGAGUUCUGUCUGAAAAUAAACAGAUGCAACAACCAA